CAGCCGCCACGGUAAUAUGAAGGUCCCGAGCGUUGUUCGGAAUCACUGGGCGUAAAGGGAGCGUAGGCGGCGUGGUAAGUCAGAUGUGAAAUCCCGGGGCUCAACCUCGGAACUGCAUCCGAUACUGCCAUGCUAGAGGAUUGGAGAGGUAGCUGGAAUUCUUGGUGUAGCAGUGAAAUGCGUGGAGAUCAAGAGGAACACUCGUGGCGAAAGCGAGCUACUGGACAAUAACUGACGCUGAGGCUCGAAGGCCAGGGUAGCGAAAGGGAUUAGAUACCCGUGUAGUCCCUGUCUCUUAUAC
rnacentral:rRNA from 1 species